UACGUAGGGGGCUAGCGUUGUCCGGAUUUAUUGGGCGUAAAGAGCGUGUAGGCGGCCAGGUAGGUCUGCUGUGAAAACUCGAGGCUCAACCUCGAGCUGUCGGCGGAAACCAUCUGGCUAGAGUCCGGAAGAGGAGAGUGGAAUUCCCGGUGUAGCGGUGAAAUGCGCAGAUAUCGGGAAGAACACCAGUGGCGAAGGCGACUUCCUGGCCUGUUCUUGACGCUGAGGCGCGAAAGCUAGGGUAGCAAACGGG
rnacentral:rRNA from 1 species